CAAGGAGGGUUAAGUCGUAACAAGGUAUCUGUAGGGGAACCUGCAGAUGGAUCACCUCCUAAGAAAAC
rnacentral:rRNA from 1 species